AUGAGCUACGCUAUGUGAAGAGUUCCCUUGAAGGUAACUGGUUUACAGACACACUGAACUGAGGCAGGACAUAAUCAAGGUUACAGGAAUUUACCAGAACCCCAUGUUCAUCAGGCAAUUUUCGGCUCGAAAGAAGAAUUGCUAAAACAGUGAACUAUUCAUGCUCCAACCACAAAGAUGACUAUGCCUAUAUUCUAAGGUAUCA